rnacentral:rRNA from 1 species
AUUGAACGCUGGCGGCAGGCUUAACACAUGCAAGUCGAGCGGAGCGAGGGUGCUUGCACCUUAGCUUAGCGGCGGACGGGUGAGUAAUGCUUAGGAGUCUGCCUAUUAGUGGGGGACAACAUUCCGAAAGGAAUGCUAAUACCGCAUACGCCCUACGGGGGAAAGCAGGGGAUCUUCGGACCUUGCGCUAAUAGAUGAGCCUAAGUCGGAUUAGCUAGUUGGUGGGGUAAAGGCCUACCAAGGCGACGAUCUGUAGCGGGUCUGAGAGGAGGAUCCGCCACACUGGGACUGAGACACGGCCCAGACUCCUACGGGAGACAGCAGUGGGGAAUAUUGGACAAUGGGCGGAAGCCUGAUCCAGCCAUGCCGCGUGUGUGAAGAAGGCCUUUUGGUUGUAAAGCACUUUAAGCGAGGAGGAGGCUCUUAAGGUUAAUACCCUUGAUGAGUGGACGUUACUCGCAGAAUAAGCACCGGCUAACUCUGUGCCAGCCGCCGCAGUAACAC